CCCAGGUGACACCAGAUGUGCUGAAAGUACACACCAUCCUGGAGCCCUAGGCAGUGACAGCAGCAGCAUUGGUAGCAGCAAGGCACGAGUGACCCGGAAGGCAAAAACAGUGACAACAAGGGCACCAAACAGCACCUCUGGCAGAGGCAGUAGAAGGUGAAAAGUGCCAAUACUCAAAAAUAGCCAGAGGCAGCUCAGCACAUGCUGCUUGCAGGAUCUUGGUUCAGGAGCUGGAGAACUGGCCAAAGCUCCUGAAGUGGGAGCUCCAAGUCUGAACCACUGGACUAACAGAGAACCUCAGACCUCAGGGAAUAUUCAUUGGAGUGAGGUCUCCCAGAGGUCCUCAUCUCAGUACCAAGACCCAGCUCUACCCAACAGUCUACAAACUCCAGUGUUGGAAGCCUCAGGCCAAACAACCAGUAAGACAGGAACAUAAUCCCCUUCAUGAAAAAAGGAAAAAAAUGAGACGGCAAAAAAUGUGUCACAGAUGAAGGAGCAAGGUAAAAACCUACAAAACCAAAUUAAUGAAGAGGAAAUAGGCAAUCUACCUGAAAAAGAAUUCAGAGUAAUGAUAGUAAAGAUGAUCCAGAAUCUCAAAAAUAGAAUGGUGACCUGGACUGAGAAAACACAAGAAAUGUAUAACAAAGAUAUAGAAUAACUAAAGAACAAACAGAGAUGAACAACACAAUAAUUGAAAUGAAAAAUACUCUAGAAGGAAUCAAUAACAGAAUAACUGAGGCAGAAGAAUGAAUACAUGAGCUGGAAGACAAAAUGGUAGAAAUAACUAUUGAGGAACAGAAUAAAGAAAAAAAUAAAGAGAAUUGAAGACAAUAUCAGAGAUAUCUGGGACAACACUAAACACACCAACAUUCGAAUUAUAGGGGUCCCAGAAGAAGAAGAGAAAAAGAAGUGUUCUGAGAAAAUAUUGGAAGAGAUUAUAGUGGAAAACUGCCCUAACAUGGGAAAGUAAAUAGUCACCCAAGUCCAGUAAGUGCAGAGAGUCCCAUACAGGAUAAACCCUAGGGGAAACUCACCAAGAAACAUAUUAAUCAAACUAAAAAAAAUUAAAUUCAAAGAAAAAAUAUUAAAAACAGCAAGGGAAAAACAAAAAUUAACAUACAAAGGAAUCCCCAUAAGGUUAUCAGCUGAUUUUUCAGCAGAAACUCUGCAGGCCAAAAGGGACUGGCACGAUAUACUUAAAAUGAUGAAAGAGGAAAACCUACAACCAAGCUUAGUCUACCCAGCAAGGAUCUCAUUCAGAUUCAAUGGAGAAAUCAAAAGCUUUAUGGACAAGCAAAAGCUAAGAGAAUUCAGCAGCACCAAAUCAGCUUUAAAACAAAUGCUAAAGAAACUUUAGGUGGGAAACACAAGAAAAGAAAAUGACCCAGAAAAAAAAAAACC